rnacentral:rRNA from 1 species
AUGGCCAGGGCCGCCGACUACUACUCCCUCCUCCAGAGCUGCAUGGGCUGCUUCCGGCAGGGCAGGUCCAUCCACCACAGGCUCCUCGCGUCCGCCUCUCCCCCGGACCUGCACCUCAGCACCAAGCUCGUCCUCUUCUACGCCAAGCACGGCGACGUGGCCACCGCCCGCAGGGUGUUCGACGGAAUGCCGCACCGGAGCGUCGUGUCCUGGACGGCCAUGGUCUCGGGCUACUCCAGGAACGGCCGCCCCCGGGAGGCGCUGGAGCUGUUCGCCCUCAUGCACACGUCCGGCGAUGCCAGGCUGAACCAGUUCACGUAUGGCAGUGUGGCCUGUGCGUGCGCGGCGGCUGGGUGCGUGAGGAGCGGGGAGCAGGUGCACGCGUGCGCGGCCAAGGGGAGGUUCGCGGGGGACAUGUUCGUGCAGAGCGCUCUCAUGGACAUGUACCUGAGGUGUGGGUCGGUGGAGAAUGCGAGGCGGAUGUUUGCGGCGAUGGAGAGGAAGGAUGUAGUUUCGUGGAAUGCCUUGCUCAGGGGUUUUGUGGAGCGUGGGCAUUGCAGUGACGCGCUUGGGUUGUUAUCCUCAAUGCUGAGAGAAGAAAUGCUGCCUGACCACUUCACAUUUGGAAGUGCUCUAAAAGCUUGUGGAGCAGUCAGUGUGCUCACUAACACGGAGUUGAUUCACACCUGUAUAAUAAAGUUGGGCUACUGGGGUGAAAAGGUUGUUAUUGGAUCACUUAUUGAUGCUUAUGCAAAAUGUCGGAGCAUGAGAAGUGCACGAGUGAUAUAUGACUCCAUAUGUGAUCCAGACCUUGUGUCAUCUACUGCGCUGAUCAGUGGGUACUCCAUGGAUAAAAAUCAUGCUGAAGAUGCGAUGGAGCUCUUCUGCAAGAUUUAUCGUAGGGGUUUGAGGAUUGAUGGUGUUCUGUUAAGCUCCUUGCUUGGCCUUUGUGCUAAUGUGUCAUGUCUCAGAUUUGGGACACAGAUUCAUGCUUACAUGUGCAAAAAGCAGCCAAUGGGAGAUGUGGCAUUGGAGAACGCUCUAGUUGAUAUGUAUGCAAAAGCAGGAGAAUUUUCAGAUGCCAGGCGUGCUUUUGAUGAAAUGCCCUGCCGAAAUGUGGUUUCAUGGACUUCACUCAUUACUGCCUGUGGGAAAAAUGGUUUUGGGGGAGAUGCUGUGAGCCUUUUUGAGAGGAUGUUGGAGGAUGGUGUGAAGCCAAACGACGUGACAUUCCUUUCUCUUCUGUCUGCUUGUGGUCAUUCUGGUCUGACAAGCAAAGGGAUGGAGUAUUUCACUUCCAUGAUGAGCAAGUACGGUAUUGAUCCAAGAGCUGAGCAUUACAGUUCUGCUAUCGACCUUCUUGGCCGUGGAGGUCAGUUAGAGGAUGCGUGGAAGCUAGUGCAGAAUGUGGAUACUGAACCCAACUCGUCAAUAUUGGGCGCUAUGCUUGGAGCUUGUAAAACGCAUGGAAACAUGCCACUUGGAGAAACUGCAGCCAAGAAUCUUUUCAGUAAAGGUGCUGAGAGUUCUGUACACUAUACCGUGCUUGCAAACAUGUAUGCAGAAUCUAAUUUAUGGGAGGAUGCUCAAAGUACAAGGAAAUUAAUGGCUGAAACUUCUGGUGGCAAGGAAGCUGGUUGCAGUGUCCUCUGA